rnacentral:tRNA from 1 species
CGGGAUGUAGCUCAGGGCGUAGAGCAUCCGGUUUGGGACCGGAGGGUCGCAGGUUCAAAUCCUGUCAUCCCGACCA